GGCCACAGCCAUAUCACCCUGCAGCCCAAGACUGGUUGCCCACUGAAGCUAAGCAGGGCUGAGCCUGGUCAGUACCUGGAUGGGAGACCUCUUGGGAAAACUAGGUUGCUGUUGGAA
rnacentral:rRNA from 1 species